AUGUUGGCCCCUCCGGACCCAGCUCUGGAUUCUCUGCAGCCUCCCCAGCACCAGCUGCUGCUUGCUGAUGGCUUCCCCACACCAAGAUCCUGCCUGCCUGCCUGCCUGCCUGCCUGCAUUCUGGCUGCAUCCACAGGCCCAGCGUUCCCCUCACAGUGGCUCAUUGGAGCCCAGUGCUUUCCUUACAGUGGCUCAUUGGAGCCCAGCGCUUUCCUCACAGUGGCUCAUUGGAGCCCAGUGCUUUCCUUACAGUGGCUCAUUGGAGCCCAGCGCUUUCCUCACAGUGGCUCAUUGGAGCCCAGCGCUUCCCUCACAGUGGCCCAUUGGGGCCCAGCUCGUGCCUGUGGCAAACCUCUCCGGACCCAGCUCUCGCCUCACUCUUGCCUUGAGUCUAGGCUCAGGCGCUCCCUCGCAGGGGUCUUCCUCAGCCCAGCUCGCCUAUCACAGACUCUCCCGGGCCAGCUCCUGCCUCCCGGCGGCCUGUCCAGGUCUAAAGCUUCCUCUCUGGGCCUGGCCUCCCCAGGCCCAGCUUCUGCCCGUGCCAGGCCCAUACCGGGCCCAGCCUCCGCCUUUCAGUGGACCCUCCAGGCCCAGCUUGUGGAAUCACCGUGGCCUCUGCUCAGGCCCAGCUCCUGCCUCUGUGGCAGCCUGUAUCCACAGGCCCCACCCCCAGUCUCUCCGUGGCCUCAUGGGGCCAAGCUGAUGCCUCCCGGUGGCCCUCCCGGGCCCAACAUUGGCCUGCUGGCCUCCUCUCUGGGCCCAGAACGUCUUCAGGUAGGUGUUUCGGGGCCCAGCUCCUUUUCUCGGCCAUGUCUAUGGGCUCAACUUUUGAAUUUUCCUUGCAGCAAACUCUGGGGACUCGGUUCCUCCCCAGCCCCUGGCAGCCUGUAUAGGCCCGAAAGCUCAGGCCCUCUGUCUGAUCACAGCUCAAAGGGGGAAAAGGAACUAACGUUCUCAGGCUCAGGUCACCUAAUUCCUGCCCUCCUUUGCAGGGUGGGUCCCAGGGAUACCACCCACACUGGCUGUUUGUUCACUUGCUAG
rnacentral:lncRNA from 1 species